UACGUAGGGUGCAAGCGUUAAUCGGAAUUACUGGGCGUAAAGCGUGCGCAGGCGGUUAUGUAAGACAGGUGUGAAAUCCCCGGGCUAACCUGGGACUGCAUUUGUGACUGCAUAGCUAGAGUACGGUAGAGGGGGAUGGAAUUCCGCGUGUAGCAGUGAAAUGCGUAGAUAUGCGGAGGAACACCGAUGGCGAAGGCAAUCCCCUGGACCUGUACUGACGCUCAUGCACGAAAGGCGUGGGGAGCAAACAGG
rnacentral:rRNA from 1 species